CAAUAGCGUAUAUUAACGUUGUUGCAGUUAAAAAGCUCGUAGUUGGAUUUCUGGAGGGAGCGUCGGCCCGUAUUUACGAGUGCGUGACGUCUCUGUCCAUCCUUGCGGGAAGGCACGACAUUGAUUUGUUGUGUCGGAUCGCAUCAUUUACUGUGAAAAAAUUAGAGUGUUCAAAGCAGGCUUUCGCUUGAAUACAUUAGCAUGGAAUAAUAAGAUAGGACUUUGGUGCUAUUUUGUUGGUUGAGCCUAAAGUAAUGAUUAAUAGGGAUAGUUGGGGGCACCUGUAUUGCGUUGUCAGAGGUGAAAUUCUUGGAUUUACGCAAGACAAACAGCUGCGAAAGCGUCUGCCAAGGAUGUUUNCAUUAA
rnacentral:rRNA from 1 species